rnacentral:rRNA from 1 species
GUGGGGAAUAUUGGACAAUGGGCGAAAGCCUGAUCCAGCCAUGCCGCGUGUGUGAAGAAGGUCUUCGGAUUGUAAAGCACUUUAAGUUGGGAGGAAGGGCAGUAAGUUAAUACCUUGCUGUUUUGACGUUACCGACAGAAUAAGCACCGGCUAACUUCGUGCCAGCAGCCGCGGUAAUACGUAGGGUGCGAGCGUUAAUCGGAAUUACUGGGCGUAAAGCGCGCGUAGGUGGUUCAGCAAGUUGGAGGUGAAAUCCCCGGGCUCAACCUGGGAACUGCCUCCAAAACUACUGAGCUAGAGUACGGUAGAGGGUAGUGGAAUUUCCUGUGUAGCGGUGAAAUGCGUAGAUAUAGGAAGGAACACCAGUGGCGAAGGCGACUACCUGGACUGAUACUGACACUGAGGUGCGAAAGCGUGGGGAGCAAACAGGAUUAGAUACCCGAGUAGUCC